rnacentral:rRNA from 1 species
AGAGUUGAUCCUGGCUUAGGACGAACGCUGGCGGCGUGCCUAACACAUGCAAGUCGAGCGAGGAGAUCCUUCGGGAUGAUCCUAGCGGCGGACGGGUGAGUAACACGUGGGCAACCUGCCUCAUAGAGAGGAAUAGCCUUCCGAAAGGGAGAUUAAUACCUCAUAACAUUGCAGUUUCGCAUGGAACAGCAAUUAAAGGAGCAAUCCACUAUGAGAUGGGCCCGCGGCGCAUUAGCUAGUUGGUGAGGUAACGGCUCACCAAGGCGACGAUGCGUAGCCGACCUGAGAGGGUGAUCGGCCACAUUGGGACUGAGACACGGCCCAGACUCCUACGGGAGGCAGCAGUGGGGAAUAUUGCACAAUGGGGGAAACCCUGAUGCAAGCAACGCCGCGUGAGUGAUGACGGCCUUCGGGUUGUAAAGCUCUGUCUUCAGGGACGAUAAUGACGGUACCUGAGGAGGAAGCCACGGCUAACUACGUGCCAGCAGCGGC